GCAGCUUGCUGGACUGUAACUGACGCUGAGGCACGAAAGCGUGGGGAUCAAACNGGAUUAGAUACCCUGGUANNCCACGCCGUAAACGAUGAAUGCUAGCUGUUAGCGAUAUACUGUUAGCGGCACAGAGAAAUCGUUAAGCAUUCCACCUGGGGAGUACGCCGGCAACGGUGAAACUCAAAGGAAUUGACGGGGGCCCGCACAAGCGGAGGAACAUGUGGUUUAAUUCGAUGAUACGCGAGGAACCUUACCUGGGCUUAAAUUGCAGUGGAAUAACGUGGAAACAUGUUAGCCUUCGGGCCGCUGUGAAGGUGCUGCAUGGUUGUCGUCAGCUCGUGCCGUGAGGUGUCGGCUUAAGUGCCAUAACGAGCGCAACCCUCAUCGAUAGUUACUAACAGGUUAAGCUGAGGACUCUAUCGAGACUGCCGACGUAAGUCGUGAGGAAGGUGGGGAUGACGUCAAAUCAGCACGGCCCUUACGUCCAGGGCUACACACGUGUUACAAUGGGGGGUACAAAGGGCAGCUACCUGGCGACAGGAUGCUAAUCUCAAAAACCUCUCUCAGUUCGGAUUGGAGUCUGCAACCCGACUCCAUGAAGCUGGAUUCGCUAGUAAUCGCGCAUCAGCCACGGCGCGGUGAAUACGUUCCCGGGCCUUGUACACACCGCCCGUCAAGCCAUGGGAGCCGGGGGGACCUGAAGUAUGCAACCGUAAGGAGCGUCCUAGGGUAAAACUGGUGACUGGGGCU
rnacentral:rRNA from 1 species